UACAGAGGUCCCGAGCGUUGUUCGGAUUCACUGGGCGUAAAGCGCACGUAGGCGGCUUUCUAAGUCGGGGGUGAAAUCCUGGAGCUCAACUCCAGAACUGCCUUCGAUACUGGAAAGCUCGAGUCCGGGAGAGGUGAGUGGAACUGCGAGUGUAGAGGUGAAAUUCGUAGAUAUUCGCAAGAACACCAGUGGCGAAGGCGGCUCACUGGCCCGGUACUGACGCUGAGGUGCGAAAGCGUGGGGAGCAAACAGG
rnacentral:rRNA from 1 species